rnacentral:sRNA from 1 species
AUUAUUAUUCUCGCUAUUCUAAGGAAUGGGCGGGUUAGCUAGUGCGUAAAUAGAAUUCACUAAACCCGCCGCAAAGGCGGGUUUU